rnacentral:lncRNA from 1 species
GUCACCAGAGCCUCUGCCCCUUGCUCCCAUUUCCCAGGGGCCCACACUCACGCCUCUGUGGGGGUCUCCGCAGAGGGGCCUCUCUUUGGCCCACCCAGACCGGAUCGCGCAGCCGUGAAGCAAGAACCCCAUCAGGGGGCUGCAGUGCCAAGUGGCCAAACUGCUGCUCGCAGGACUCUUGGGCCUGCCACCAGCUCAGUCGCUGUCCAGAGAACUUGCACACCCCACCUGCAGUCUUCACCACCUCGCCGGCGGCCACGGGGGCUAAAAACGAUAAGAGAGACGAGCUCUUUUCGUCAUCUGCGCAAUGGCAGGAAUGAGACGGAAACCAGUGAAGCGUUCCUCGCAGGGCCUGGACUUAUCUUGGAUAACAUUUGCAGUGACCUUAUGAGACAGCACGAAAAUCCAACACGCCCCUCACCGGAGGACUGGGAGGCUCCCGCGUUUUGGAUUCUGAAAAGCACUCCCUCGUUCACGUCUGCCUGGAUUCGCGCCCUCAAGCCCCCUGGCGCCCACUUUUCUUGCUCUCCAAACACUCGUUGAGGCCCGAGAGGGAGAUGCGAAGUUUGCCCACCACUGCGCGUCCCUCCUCCGCGAGGCGCCAAUGGGCCUGAGUCAGGGGCCUCCCCUUCAUCCGCUGGUCCCUCCCCUGUUCCCAGCUCCAGUUCCUCACCCGCUAUGGCUGGCCUGGCGCCUGUGGCCGUUCACCGUCUGCGAGGCAUCUGCGGGGACUGAAGUCGGGGAGGCAGCGGCGGGCUCUGGCAGAUACCAGGAGAUCCCGCCCCUCGGCCCGGGAGACCCCGCCCCUCGGCCACGCCCCUUUCCGCUCCCCACCCCGCCCUCUUGGGCCCCCCACCCGGCCCAGCCAGACAGAGACCUGCCUCCAGGUGGGUGGGAGGAGACCUUCAGUCCCUCGCCCCGGGCCUGUUGUCACUACCUCCCCCAAACACAUUGGUUAAAGUCACCCGAUUAGAAGGGGCCACCUGUGAGACUUGGAUCCAAAGCAAACUAGCGGAAGCUGAAGGGUCUUGGGGCUUCCCAGGCCUCUCGGAGGCCGGGAUGGUCGUGGAGGAGGGAGCGCUCAGUGCCUGGCCUACUGCCUGCCCUGAGCCGGCUCCCUACAGGACGCUUCUCCUGUACCUUCCACCUGCUGCGAGGAAGGGCUGGGGGCAGGCGUACCCAUUUUCCAGAGGAGAACUGAAGGCUCUCACCCCGGGUUAGGCCAGUGGCCGGAGGCAGAGCCGGGCCUUGAACCUGGCUUUCUGGAUCUUCAUCCAGGCCAUUCUAAAGGGGAUCACAGUUUCCAGGAGUCACUCCUGAAGAUGGUCAAGUACCAUGGAGGGGCAGGGCAUCCAUGGACCCUGAUUUGAGGCCCCGGAGCAGUUGGGACUGGUUUGGGCCACGGCUGGCCUAAUCUCCCCUCCACAGAGCCUGGGCAUUGUCCAGUUGGCAGCCAAGAGCCAUCUAUCCACUUUACAGCGGGCAGCUUUGACAGGCUGCUUGUUUCCAAGGACAAAGCCUGCAGGCUGUGGGUAGGCGAUAGCCACUGCGGACCUCGGGCUCAUUGCCUGGGUACAGGGGGUGGGGAGCCUGAGGUCUGCCAGGACCCAAGGGAGCCUCGAGGGUGGCCUGAGGACAUUGGGUCCUCACUCCUGGCCCCUCAGCCAACCCCCUCAUAGCCCAGGGCCAGGAAUUUUGGAAGGAAGAACCAGCCACUGGGAUGUUUUCACUUUUGGGUCACCCUGAUCCCCCCAGAAUCGAGGCUUGGCCAUCAGCCAGCUUUUAUGUGACCCAGGCAGCUCUCUCCACUCUGUUUCUUCUUCUACAGAAUGUUGAGAAUCACCUCUUUCUCUCAGGGACAUAAAGCAUGGCUGUGAGAGAGAUUUGUGAGUGUUGGGGUCACUGUAAUUACUCUCUGAGGGUGCCUGUCUUGAGCUCUGUAGACAAAGUGGGAUCCCUUCCCCUCUCUCAUACCCCUACAAACUUUGGGCCUCGAGUAUCCAGGAUGGGCCCAGAACCAGCACUGGCACAGCCUCCUCUCUGGCCUGAUCCAAGCCCUCUCCCACACAGCAGUCAGGCUGAUCUUCCUAAAAUUUCCGUCUAUUGAGCUUACAUUAAAAUAAUAAUAAUAAUAAUAAUAAUAAUAAUAAUAAUAAUAAUAACAACAUUUCUGUCUGAUUUUGUCUCUCCUCUGCUCAAAAUCCCUCUGUGGAUCCCUAGUGCCUCCAGGAGAAAGUCCACCCUUCCUCUCACGGCUCACCCAAUCUACCCCAGCCGUGGCUCCUCCCUCACUGUGCCUCUUCCCCUUACCUUCUAGCCAGAGUGAAAUCCCCAGGCCUCUGCGUGCACCAUUCCCUCUGCUUAGGAAUAGGCAGACCUGCCCCCAGGUCUUUUCUGGUUCAUUUCCACUUAUCCUUCAGGUUUCUAGGAUGCUUUCCCUGACCUCCACUUAAAUUGGCUCAGGAGUUCCCUGAUCUCCACAAAUGUCAGGAACUUGUCCACCCGCCUGCCCCCAGCACCCAGGUUACACCUGACAAAGUAAGCGCUUUGGAAUGCUCCAACAGACCUAGUCAUACCAUACCCGGACAGAUGCCUUGCGUGUGUGUUUGAGGGUGGUGGUGCUGGGGACAGUGGGAAGGGACUCUGCCUCAUGGACCCCCAAGGCCAGACACCUGCACUGCUGCUUGUGGCCACUGGAGGGCGAAACAACUAUUUAGUGCCUACCUGCGGCAGGCCCCUCCUCAGCCUGGGAGAAAAGAGAUGCCCCUCCCGCCCACCCCCACCUGUCCCCACCUGUCCCCACUUGUCACUGGGGCAGCUCCGGAAGUAAAACGUGGACGCAGCUGGUGCAGUGGCCUUGAGCUGGCAGUCAGAACCUCUGCCUACCCCCAUCCCCCAUUCCAGGCCCUUCUCUGCCAACAACCAGCAUAGGGACCUGAAUAAGUCACAUCUCUGCUCUUGGUUUCAGAUGAUCUGUGACAUGCCUGGCCUGGAGCCUGGCACACAGCAGGUGCUCAGUAAAUACAUAUUUGGCCGGGCGCGAUGACUCACGUCUGUAACCCCAUCACUUUGGGAGGCCGAGGUGGAUGGAUCACCUGAGGUCACGUGUUUGAGACCAUCCUGGCCAACAUGGCGGAACCCUGUCUCUACUAAAAAUACAAAAAUUAGCUGGUUGUGGUGGCGCGUGCCUGUAAUCCCAGCUGCUGGGGAGGCUGAGGCAGGAGAACCUGGGAGGCGGAGGUUGCAGUGAGCCAAGAUCAUGCCAUCACACUCCAGCCUGGGUGACAGAACAAGGCUCAGUCUCAAAAUGAAUACAUACAUACAUACCUAUUUGUAUUAGGAGGAGAAAACCAAGAACCAGAGAAGAGAAGAGAAGGGAAGGGACCUGUGGCCACAUAGCAAGGCCAUGGCACAGCCGAAGUCUCCUCUGCUUUCCUCAUGCAGCCCCGUCCAACCCAUCUCUUUCAUCUCUUUUCUUAAAACUUAAAAAUAUUUUCAGGGGGGUGUGGUGGCUCAUGCCUAUAAUCCCAGCAAUUUGGGAGGAUGAGAUGGGAGGAUUGCUUGAGCCCGGGAGUUUGAGGCUGCAGUGAGCCACUGUAGUCCAGCCGGGGUGACACAGCCAGACUCCAUCUUUUUCUCUGUAUAUUUUUUCACCUCUACCUGAUGUGACUGAGUAACUGCUGGGGUACAUCACCUCUUUCAGGUGAUGGAAAUGUUCUAAAGUUGAUUAUGCUGAUGGUUGGUUGCCCAGCUGUGAAUGCAGUAAAAACAUUGAGCCGUACACUUUAAAUGGACAAGUUAUGUGUGAAUUAUAUCUCAAUAAAGCUCUGUGCCCCACCCAAAUCUCCUGUCAAACUGUGAUUCAUAGCGUUGGAAGUGGGGCCGGGUGGAAGGUGACUAGAUCAUGGGGGCGGAUCCUUCAUAAAUGAU